UACGGAGGGUGCAAGCGUUGUUCGGAAUUAUUGGGCGUAAAGCGCGUGUAGGCGGCUUCUUAAGUCUGAUGUGAAAGCCCCGGGCUCAACCUGGGAAGUGCAUUGGAAACUGGGAAACUUGAGUACGGGAGAGGGUAGUGGAAUUCCUAGUGUAGGAGUGAAAUCCGUAGAUAUUAGGAGGAACACCGGUGGCGAAGGCGGCUACCUGGACCGAUACUGACGCUGAGACGCGAAAGCGUGGGGAGCAAAC
rnacentral:rRNA from 1 species